rnacentral:piRNA from 1 species
UGAUUGGUGUACCAUUAGCGGCGGAUAG